ensembl:lncRNA
CCUGUAUCUUUCUAAGAUUGUACGUAGAGGAGGUAAAAUUCUUGAGUCCUUGAAUGUUUGGAAAUUUCUUCAUUCUACUUUUAUACUUGACUGAUGAUUUGGCUGAGUGUAGACUCUGGGUUGUAAACCAUUUUCUCUUAAUAUUGCUUCAUUGACUCUUAGCAUUUAGUGUUGCUUUCCAAAGUCUAAGGCCAUUUUCUUUCUCUAUCCUUUGUAUGUAAGCAGUUCUUAUCUGAUUGGUUGGUUAGUUUUUGUCUGUUUCUCUUGUUUCUCUCUGUUAAGUUUUGAAGUUCUGCUCCCCAUUCCCGAUAUUCUGAAAUUCAAUGGUAACACGCUUUUGUGUAAGUCUUUACUCGCCCAAGUCAUUGCAUUGGAUACUCAGUGGGUAGUUUUAAUUUAGAAGCUCAUGCCUUUGAUUCUGGGAAAUUUGCUGCAUAAUGGCGUGGAUAACUCUCUGCUCGGUUUUCUCUCUUUCUCCCCCUCCUCCCAUCUACCCCCACAAAGAACUCCUUUUAGUCAGAUCUUCUUUCUCCUCCUAAAUUCAUCCUCUAAUUUUUAAUCUUCUCUCUCCUGUUGCCAUUCUUUUGCUCUUUGGUUUUUAUUCUGUGAUGAUUCCUAAACCUCACCUUCAAACUUUUUUAAUGAUAUUUUUAAAAAUUUCAGUGGUCAUACUUUUUCUCAUUAUAGAACCCUUUCUUGUUCUCUAGGUGCACCUUUUCUCUAGAUAUAGUAUCUUCUCAUUCAAGCAUACAAUAAAAGUCCUUUUAAAAUUAUUCUUUUCUUAUGAUUCUGGUAAUAUCUCUGCUUUUUCUGAGGAUGCUUUCUGUUUAUUGUCGACUGAGAAUUUCCUGUUGGAGGCUUUCUUCGGUGUCUGGUGCUCAUUGGCCAUUGGUUUGUAUAUAAUUGCAAGGCAAUAAAAAGCUGACUGGGAACCAUGGGGGUGGGGUUAGGGUAGGAGAGAAGGGAAGCUUAUCAACAAAUAGACUACACUCUUGCAAGUCAGCCUUUUCACUGGGAGUAAUACACUUCUCUCCUUCCUCCCAAAUAUUGAUAUCUAUUGGUAUUUUCUCUGGAACCAAUCUGUUUCUCCACGGAAGAUUCUCGAAUCUCUGGCCUGGGAAGAGGCAGGGGUCCAGUUAAUGGUAUCCUCAGAACAGCCAGGGAGUGGGGGUUAGGAGAGGGAUCUACUGUUUUAGGAUCCAAGUUUUACCUAAUCCUUUUGUUUCCAGGAAGCCUUGCCCCCUGCUCUUCACUUUCCUGGUGUCACUGAGUUCAGAGUUUCUAGGGUGCAACUGCUUUGCCAAAUAGACCUCUUAUGUCCUACAAGAGUGAGAGAGCAACGAUCAUCUGACCAACAGGGUGGGAAGGGGCUCUGGCUGUCUAACUGUUCUGUAUACUGUCUUAGCCAGAUCCCUUUUCAGCCUGGCGCCUCAUGUUUGCCUUUUUUGGGAAGUAGGGCCUCCAAAUCCCAGCCCUUUCUGGGAUGCUCUAGAGUUAACGGGCUGUCUCACUUCAAUAUCUGUUCUCAGGCACUCAGGGUUCAACGUCUGCCCUGUUCGCUCAUUUCUAAUCUAUCUUCCAAAAAUUUGAUAAUAUUCCCUGUAUCAGCUCGUUCCUCCUCUCCUAUUCUCUUUUUCUGUAUGUGUUUGUCUCUUUAUAUAAACCAUGGUUGUCAUUUGGGGCUAGUGUUUUGAAAGGGAAUCGAGAUAAAUACACCCAUAUUUGGUCCAUUAGGCUUACCUGAAAACCUCUGCCAGAGUGACUUUCUAAAAUGAAGAUUUGGCCCUCUCGUGCUUCCUGGACCCCAAAUCCUUCCAAGCCUGGUCAUAACUUUCUGUACGAGAUGAAUAUGGUUUAGCUUAGCAGACAAAGACUCCAUGAUCAGGUGCCUGCCUGCCUCUCAAGAUUUAUCACCAAUUGCCUACGUAGAUGAGGCCAGUGGGAUUGCCUGUCUCCCACCGGCCUUUGUGGAAUCGCUCCUCUGUGCCAUACUCCCGUCAGCAUGGCUGCAGGCAGAUCUGUAUUUUUCCUAAAUUUGACCUUCUUCCCCUGGUCACUGCUGACUGACUCAAGCUGGGCCAGUUAAUCCAUUCCCUAGAUUUUGAGAACCUGCAAAAUUCACUGCCUGUAAUAGCUAUGCUGUAUAUUCUAUGAAUCUGCAAAGCAGAAAGCUUGUUUGGAGAGAAAGAAGGAAAGACUUUCCUAAUGAGAGUCUUGAUUCUCUGCUUCAGAAUCAUUUCUUCAUCCAGCUGAGCCCUGACUUCUGACAGGCACCUUUCUGUGCCCCUCAGAGAUGGUAGAAAAGCAGAGCUUCAUUCCAGUGAGAAAGAUACUAAAGAAAUGAACAGCUAACAAAUAAACCAGAUAUUGUAACGAGUCUUCAGGAACAGAAUGGACUCCCACCCAAAAAUUGGCUCAAAUGUUGAAAGUGAUGAUGCCACACAGACACCAACAAGACUCCGCGAUGUUAAUGUGUCCGGCCUAGAUUGUCCUCUGGGGGAAGCCUAACCUCACACCCUACCUGCAGCCCUGCUGGGCUCACGAGGACUCUGGCACGGCAAGAAGUGCUUCCCCGAAGCGAAAGUUACCAAGCCAAAAACUCAGUGAGAGGCGCCUCUGAAGGAAAAACAGAGUGGAAAAUGAAACCUUGUUCCAAAACUUAUUUCUUAUUGUGGACAAGGAAGUUGUUCAAAAAAUUCAGUAGUCACUUCUAAAGCAAGAGCAUCGAAAUCAAAACAUUAAGUUAAUCAAGAAACCUAGAAGUGCAAGAAUUAUGGAAGGAAAUAAAAAAAAAAAUUCAGCUGGAACACACCUAACCUGCAGCGUGGUCUUCAUUGACCCUGCUUCAGCCAUUUUGCUCAGAUUAAAUUUUCCACAAGCGACUGUCCUGCCCCAUUGGGCUUCUUUCAUUUUCAGACCUGUGUUCUCCACGGGACCUGCAGAGAGAGAAGAGCUGUGAGAGGAGCAGUUAGGCAAAACAGUAUAAAUAUAGGCAAUGACCUUUCCUAAAAACCCUAGCUAAAGUUCUGUCUCCAUUUGGGACCCAGUGUUUGAAAAAGCACUUGUGGUUGUUGGUUUGGAUAAAGGGAUGAAGCUGAAAUACAAUUAUAAAGACAAACUGAUGAGGGAAACACAAGUUAAAAGAUACAGCUGGUUUCACCAUUAAUAGCCUUUGGAAAUGUUGUGGUUUCUUUUCUCCAGUCGUUUUCUCUGCCACUUAAUGAGAGCCCAUUAUAUAUAAAAUUUUUCAUACUGCUUUUCACUAAGCAUUGUAACAUAAGCACAUUCCCAUGCCAUCAAAACCUUUCUGCAAACCUAAUUUGUAAUAUCUUCAUUAUAUUCCACUGUGUGAAUAUAAUAUAAUUUAUUUGACCAUUCUGCUCCUGUUUAACAUUCAGAUUGUUUCCAGUUUUUUGGCGUAUCAAGUAUCUGUUGCUCUGUAGCUAUCUAAUCCUUAGGGGAUAGCAUCCUAAAGCUUAAGAUGGCUUAAGACUGCAUUUCUUUAUUAUUUCUCAUGCUUCUGUUGUGUAACUGUGUGGGUCCUACUGGUUUACCUGGGCUCGCACAAGCAAUUGCUCUCAGUUGGAGGGUCAGCUGAGCUUGAAGAUCCAAGAUGGCCACAUUCACGUUUCUGGCAGUUGGUGCUGGCUGAGCACUGGGAUGCCUCCACCUCAAUGUCGUUCGUCCUCCUGUCAGCUACACUGGCUUUCUUACUUGGGGGCCUCAGGGUGGCAUGCCAAGACGGCCAAGAAAGCUCCAAGACCUCUUGAGAUCUGGGCUUUAAAACUAGUAAAACUUCACUUCUACCACAUUCUUUUGCUCAAGGCACAUCACAAGGCCAAUCCAAAAUCAAGGGAUGGAAAAACAGGCUCUACCUCUGGAUAGCAGGAGCAUCGAGGUUACCUUACGAGGGAACAUGCGUGGCAGGAUGUAAGGGAUUUAUGGCCGCUAGUCCACCACAAGGGGUUGCUAUGCAAUAUGCUGCAAUGAACAUCUCUAUAAAUUAAGCUUUAUAUGGUAGAGUCUAAAACAUUGUUUCCUUUGAAUCAACCCUUAGAAUUUGAUUUAUCAGGACAAAAGAUAAGAUGCAUUUUUAAGGUUCUUGAUACAAAGGCUCUUACUUUCUAGAAUGUACUUGGAUGGCUCUUUGCCACCUCUGCUUUCUAAGACAGGAAAUUUAAUUGGCCAACUUCAAAUAAAAAAGUUAAUUAUAAUGUCCCAUCAGAAUUAAAGGCAAGGUUCUUUUCUAAAGGAAUAAAGCAGUGCAGUGGCAAUGAGUUGGAUUUUUCUGUGUCUGAUUACGAAUAACGUUCUCCUUGGCAUAAAUGAAAUCUUGGAUGAGGAGUUGGAGGCAGACCAGAUUUCAGAUCCAUCUACCAAACAAAUCCCUUCUGAUUUGAAUGUAUGAAUUUGUUGAGAUUUCCUGAUGGCUAACAAUAUGCCUUCAUGUUAGCAAUGACAAAAAAACUAAUAGCUGGGCACAGUAUUAAAAAAAGGCCUCUUUUUCAUGUAAUUGAAUUCUUCAAUCUUGCACUGCAUUCAUUGAGAAGAACUCUUGGGAUGAAUUUCUUUGAAAUCUCUGCUACUGAUUUUAUUUUCUGAUAUGUUGACCUUCAUCUCGAGACAUGUUGCAAGAUUGGCAGGCUUCGUUUUCUGUGCAUCAGAUACAGGGAAAGCUGUGUUAAGGCUCCUGCCAUUGAAAUUUAUUCAGUGUGGAUGCUAAUGAAGAAUUUUAAAGUGAUCUAGUCUGAUUCUCUCCUCUUUUUCUCAUUUCUGUGCAAGGGGGAGAAAUAACAUCUCCUUAGCAAAGAGAACUAAAAAAUAAUGACCACAUCUCUCAUUCAGAACUUGGUCUGGUGUUCAGCUCACUCUGUUUGUUCUAUUUUGAGAAGCAAACUAUAAAUCUGUAUCAAGAAUGGUGAUUAUUAUUUUUAUUAUUAGAGAAUGGAUAAAUUUCUUACUGGUAAUUGCCCUGUCUAAAUGUUCUCCACAUGCAUCAAUUUUUACAAUGUAUUUAUUUACCUUUUAUUAGGCAUCUCAAUGUGAAAAAUACCGAGCUAGGCAUUGGCAAUGCAGAUAUGAAUUAGUUAUGGCCCCUUCUGUCAAAGCAACUCACAGUCAAGUAUAAGGGUGGACAUGAACCAAACUGACCCAGAUAAGCAUAAAAUCGCACCUUAAAAAGUACUCAAAAUAAAAAUGAAUGAAAGAGACAAUGUCUUCCAUCUAGCCAGUAAAUAUAAUGAGGAGUACAUUCUUGAUUCAACAUAAUGUCUAUAACACGUUUGCCAUAAUCUUUAACUCCCUUGCCUCUCUUACUUUUCAUCACAUGCAUCUGGAAAAACCCCAGUCUGGAAUAAACCAAACCAAUCUUUGACCUGGUGUUUGUGCCUGCACAGGUGGCUGGAGGAUCACUUCAGUGGGCAACCUGGCAUGAGCACCAAUCUCAAAAAGACUUGCAUCCCACUCAAUCUCUCUUCAAUUCAUUGUCUCACCCUCUACAGUAAACAUUUCCAACUCUCUCUACUCUCCAUGGACCCCCAACUCCUUCCCAACCUCCCUCCAUCACCUAUGACUCUCAGCAAAUGACUGCCUCCGACUUUACCUGCAAAGUAAAUCCGUGAAAUGAGAACUCCUGCCACUUUCUUCUCACUAACUGGGCAAACCUCCCUCCGUGUGCACACUCCAUUUCAACAACAUAAUCGAGUCCUUUUAGUCCCUUUGCC